rnacentral:piRNA from 1 species
UCAUUUGGAAUUGUAAUGGUGAAUGUU